UAGCUACAGGCUUAACACAUGCAAGUCGAGGGGCAGCAUGGUCUUAGCUUGCUAAGGCCGAUGGCGACCGGCGCACGGGUGAGUAACACGUAUCCAACCUGCCGUCUACUCUUGGACAGCCUUCUGAAAGGAAGAUUAAUACAAGAUGGCAUCAUGAGUUCACAUGUUCACAUGAUUAAAGGUAUUCCGGUAGACGAUGGGGAUGCGUUCCAUUAGAUAGUAGGCGGGGUAACGGCCCACCUAGUCUUCGAUGGAUAGGGGUUCUGAGAGGAAGGUCCCCCACAUUGGAACUGAGACACGGUCCAAACUCCUACGGGAGGCAGCAGUGAGGAAUAUUGGUCAAUGGGCGCAGGCCUGAACCAGCCAAGUAGCGUGAAGGAUGACUGCCCUAUGGGUUGUAAACUUCUUUUAUAAAGGAAUAAAGUCGGGUAUGUAUACCCGUUUGCAUGUACUUUAUGAAUAAGGAUCGGCUAACUCCGUGCCAGCAGCCGCGGUAAUACGGAGGAUCCGAGCGUUAUCCGGAUUUAUUGGGUUUAAAGGGAGCGUAGAUGGAUGUUUAAGUCAGUUGUGAAAGUUUGCGGCUCAACCGUAAAAUUGCAGUUGAUACUGGAUAUCUUGAGUGCAGUUGAGGCAGGCGGAAUUCGUGGUGUAGCGGUGAAAUGCUUAGAUAUCACGAAGAACUCCGAUUGCGAAGGCAGCCUGCUAAGCUGCAACUGACAUUGAGGCUCGAAAGUGUGGGUAUCAAACAGGAUUAGAUACCCUGGUAGUCCACACGGUAAACGAUGAAUACUCGCUGUUUGCGAUAUACGGCAAGCGGCCAA
rnacentral:rRNA from 1 species